UACACAGAAAACUCAAAGUCAGCUUACAC
rnacentral:piRNA from 1 species